rnacentral:rRNA from 1 species
AAUGCGUAGAGAUCUGGAGGAAUACCGGUGGCGAAGGCGGCCCCCUGGACGAAGACUGACGCUCAGGUGCGAAAGCGUGGGGAGCAAACAGGAUUAGAUACCCUGGUAGUCCACGCCGUAAACGAUGUCGACUUGGAGGUUGUGCCCUUGAGGCGUGGCUUCCGGAGCUAACGCGUUAAGUCGACCGCCUGGGGAGUACGGCCGCAAGGUUAAAACUCAAAUGAAUUGACGGGGGCCCGCACAAGCGGUGGAGCAUGUGGUUUAAUUCGAUGCAACGCGAAGAACCUUACCUGGUCUUGACAUCCACGGAAGUUUUCAGAGAUGAGAAUGUGCCUUCGGGAACCGUGAGACAGGUGCUGCAUGGCUGUCGUCAGCUCGUGUUGUGAAAUGUUGGGUUAAGUCCCGCAACGAGCGCAAC